rnacentral:rRNA from 1 species
GACGAACGCUGGCGGCGUGCCUAACACGUGCAAGUCGAGCGAGGUAUUUAUACCUAGCGGCGGACGGGUGAGUAACACGUGGGUAACCUGCCUCAUAGAGGGGAAUAGCCUUCCGAAAGGGAGAUUAAUACCGCAUAAUAUAUACCGGUAGCAUUAAUGGUAUAUCAAAGGAGAAAUCCGCUAUGAGAUAGGCCCGCGGCGCAUUAGCUAGUUGGAGAGGUAACGGCUCACCAAGGCGACGAUGCGUAGCCGACCUGAGAGGGUGAUCGGCCACAUUGGAACUGAGGCACGGUCCAGACUCCUACGGGAGGCAGCAGUGGGGAAUAUUGCACAAUGGGGGAAACCCUGAUGCAGCAACGCCGCGUGAAUGAUGACGGCCUUCGGGUUGUAAGUUACUUUG